AACGAACGCUGGCGGCAUGCCUAACACAUGCAAGUCGAACGAGACCUUCGGGUCUAGUGGCGCACGGGUGCGUAACGCGUGGGAACCUGCCCUUAGGUUCGGAAUAACUCCCCGAAAGGGGUGCUAAUACCGGAUAAUGUCUUCGAACCAAAGAUUUAUCGCCUUUGGAUGGGCCCGCGUUGGAUUAGCUAGUUGGUAGGGUAAAAGCCUACCAAGGCGACGAUCCAUAGCUGGUCUGAGAGGAUGAUCAGCCACACUGGGACUGAGACACGGCCCAGACUCCUACGGGAGGCAGCAGUGGGGAAUAUUGGACAAUGGGCGAAAGCCUGAUCCAGCAAUGCCGCGUGAGUGAUGAAGACCUUAGGGUUGUAAAGCUCUUUUACCCGGGAUGAUAAUGACAGUACCGGGAGAAUAAGCUCCGGCUAACUCCGUG
rnacentral:rRNA from 1 species